rnacentral:rRNA from 1 species
AUUGAACGCUGGCGGCAGGCUUAACACAUGCAAGUCGGGCGGGGUGAUGGUGCUUGCACUAUCACUUAGCGGCGGACGGGCGAGUAAUGCUUAGGAAUCUGCCUAUUAGUGGGGGACAACAUCUCGAAAGGGAUGCUAAUACCGCAUACGUCCUACGGGAGAAAGCAGGGGAUCACCUGUGACCUUGCGCUAAUAGAUGAGCCUAAGUCGGAUUAGCUAGUUGGUGGGGUAAAGGCCUACCAAGGCGACGAUCUGUAGCGGGGCUGAGAGGAUGAUCCGCCACACUGGGACUGAGACACGGCCCAGACUCCUACGGGAGGCAGCAGUGGGGAAUAUUGGACAAUGGGGGGAACCCUGAUCCAGCCAUGCCGCGUGUGUGAAGAAGGCCUUAUGGUUGUAAAGCACUUUAAGCGAGGAGGAGGCUCUUUUGGUUAAUACCCAAGAUGAGUGGACGUUACUCGCAGAAUAAGCACCGGCUAACUCUGUGCCAGCAGCCGCCGUAA